rnacentral:rRNA from 1 species
UACGAAGGGGGCUAGCGUUGCUCGGAAUCACUGGGCGUAAAGCGCACGUAGGCGGAUCUUUAAGUCAGGGGUGAAAUCCCAAGGCUCAACCUUGGAACUGCCUUUGAUACUGGGGAUCUCGAGUCCGGAAGAGGUUGGUGGAACUGCGAGUGUAGAGGUGAAAUUCGUAGAUAUUCGCAAGAACACCAGUGGCGAAGGCGGCCAACUGGUCCGGGAACUGACGCUGAGGCACGAAAGCGUGGGGAUCAAACAGG